UAACACGUUUUUUAAGUUCAAUCAGGUGGGAGUAGGUUUUAAUAACUAAUAUAUGUAAUCAUACACGGCGUUUAAGAAGAUUUUAACAUUUUACAUUCAUUGCUAAAUGAAAGAGAAAGUUGGAAAAACUCCGAUUAAAGAAGAUUUUAAUAAUAAAUGCUAAAACUAAGGUUACAAGUGAAAUAAAAACAGCGCUUUUUUUUUAGACUAGUUCAUUAAUAAUACAUCAUUUUGAUGUUUCAAUCUUUAUUUUUUUUUUAUAAAAGGUGUUUAUGUACAUGUUGCAACAAAAGAAAAGAAGAGCUAGUGUAAAAUUACUAUUUUCGAGCUAAAUCUUAUUCGCAACUCCGUGCAGCUGACAUUAAGGAUUGUAGAUACUUCGUGCAAAGGAAGAAGACAAUAUUUUGGAAUUAUCAUUCCUACAGAAUAUUUCA